CUUUUUUACGCAUAUGUAAUCACCUCACUAUAUUUUACUGUUCCUGUUGAUUUUCUAACAGGUAUAGAAAAACGUAUAGUAUGGUUUGUGAGUUCCUAUUAUGCGUAUAAAACCAAAAAAGGUACUGCCUAGCGGUAAAUAAAAAAACCGUUAUUAACAGUAUCAUUUUUGCGUGUCAAAAAAUAUCAUUACUUCAAUGGCGGUUUGAUAAGCCGCCUUUUUCUUUUUCCAUCAAAA
rfam:Clostridiales bacterium 41_12_two_minus Ley3_66761_scaffold_3615, whole genome shotgun sequence.